rnacentral:rRNA from 1 species
AGGGCACCACCAGGAGUGGAGCCUGCGGCUUAAUUUGACUCAACACGGGAAAACUCACCCGGCCCGGACACUGGAAGGAUUGACAGAUUGAGAGCUCUUUCUUGAUUCAGUGGGUGGUGGUGCAUGGCCGUUCUUAGUUGGUGGAGUGAUUUGUCUGGUUAAUUCCGAUAACGAACGAGACUCUAGCCUACUAAAUAGAUCGUCGGCUUACAAACGCCGGCGAGACUUCUUAGAGGGACAGGCGGCGAUUCAACCGCACGAAACAGAGCAAUAACAGGUCUGUGAUGCCCUUAGAUGUCCGGGGCCGCACGCGCGCUACACUGAAGUGAUCAGCGUGCUUUUUCAACCUACUCUGUCAAGAGUGGGGAACCCAAUGAACCUUCUUCGUGAUUGGGAUAGGGGAUUGUAAUUAUUCCCCUUGAACGAGGAAUUCCCAGUAAGCGCGAGUCAUAAGCUCGCGUUGAUUACGUCCCUGCCCUUUGUACACACCGCCCGUCGCUACUACCGAUUGAAUGUUUU